GAGUUAAGAAAAAGCAUAGAAGUCUCAAGCAAUAGUAGGAAAUGCUGCUAACAUUGAGCCUACAUUACAGGCAUGGCUUUUUUUAGCUGGAACUUGCUGGAACUCAGUUCUGGCACCACUCAGGAGGGCGCCAUUGCCAUUCUGAGAGAAGGAGGGAGGUGUUCGUGGUGACUUCCAGCACCUCUUUUUCUAGAAAAAUAGUGCCGAUUAUAGGUUCUCUCUGAUCACCUUUUCAUGCAGUGACAGGUGCCACACCAAAAUUUCCAGCAGAUACCUUGCAGGUGCCAAUCACUUAGUUGGUAGUAUAAUAUGUGCCAUGGAGUGCACUCAGGGCUAGAAUGUACAGACUGGACUCUGUCACCAUGCUAGAUGAUUAGUACUGUACAUAGGAACAACUCCAGGGGCCAUGGGGGCUUUGGCCCCCACAAUAAAAUAUUUGAGGGGGCCAGGCUCCCACAAAGUUGAUGGGCAUUCCCAUUCAAAUGGUGUGUGUGCACUGCGUCGUGAUCAAUUAUGCAAGGUGGGGCUCACCUGGGCACCCACAAUAUCUUAUUCAAGUUUGCACCCCUGGUACUGUAGGCAAGAGAGAUUGGAAACUACUGAUAUUUAAAUUCUUUUCUUAAUGUACAGAUGCUGACAAACUAUUCUUAGACCACUUCCUAAUCACAAAGCUAAAGGUUAGUACACUAAUAUUUACCGAGUAAAACAAACAGCGCCCUGUGUACUUUAGACAGCAAACCUAUAUCGCUCUGGGAAAUUGCAGUAAUCCUUAUCAUCACACCCGAUGCAAUAAAGUCUCCACAAUAUGGUGCACCCGCUUAUCCUUGCAUAGUGAAUGACUUUUGAACUUGGUGACAUAGAUUUACUAUGUCCUGGUGUUUUUCCAAACAACGAGUCUAACUGGGGACUUUAGUGCCAAUGCUCUUAAACCCAACAUAGCUAACAUAGUACUUCAUCCAUAUGUAACAUGGUGGUGCAGGAGAGCCUGUUCCCAGAACUUU